UUAAGUUACUUACCUCUUUUUGCUUUAAAUCCCACUUCAGGCAAACAUGUCAGAUACACCUGUUUAAUUAAUUUCUUUGUUAAUUUCAGAGCUAAGUAUAACCAAAAUCAAUAUUAUUGGACACGGCCCAACAGGGUCCAGAGUUGGCCCAUGAUGGGCAUGGCCGGAUAGGGCCCACAUCGGAUACGACCCAAUGGGCCCGCAUAGACCCGGCCCAAUAGGGCCCCCAAAGUUGGCCUCUAGAUGGAUUAUUCAUGCAAGAAAAUUCAUUGCAGGGACUAAUACUUAAUUACGGGGUACUGUUCUAUAAUAAAACUUGAGUGACGGGACUAAUUAAUAUAUUUGAGGACCUUUACAUAAUAAAUAUUUCUUAUAGGGAUCAAACAUAAAUUACAGAAGGCUCUUUUGUGCAAUAAUAUACUAUCAAGGGUUUAACUGUAAAAUUUCAUUUAUUGGCCAAACGGGUUCGGAUAUCGGAUCUGAACUGGGUUUCGGAUUUUGGGUCUGAACUGGAUUUUGGGUUUUCUUCUUUUUUUUGUUUCGGGUUUCGGGUUCGAAUCGGGCCCAAGUUGGGCCCGCAGUUAAUAGGGCCCAUGAACAUGACCCUUCUUCUUCCCCAAACCCCCCACGGACAGGGGAGGAAGAAGAAGAGAAAGAAAGGACCGGGGGGGGGGGGGUCUAGGCGGCCAGCCUAGGUGGCGGAGGCCGUUGUCUGGUCGACGGCCAGCUGGCGGCCGUUGCGGUGGCCGGGGUCGAGAAUCAACCGAGAACGGUCUCGAUUCAUGGGGCCAAAACAAAGGGAGGAAAGCAUGCCUGAUUCGACUAGAUCAAAGAGAAACAAGGGAAGAGGGCUUAUCGGUAGUGGCAGAGGCGGCGGAAGGGAGAUCUCGACCAGGGAGGGCUCGGUCCGGCAGCUAGCAACGGCGGCGGCGCUCAAAACUAAGGGGAUGGGUCACAGAACAGGGGAAGGCCACGAAGGGGAUUCGGACGGCGCUUGGCCAGGAGAGCACGCCGAUCACCAGGCAAAGGAGGAGGAAGGAAGGAAGGAAGAGGAGAAGACAGAGGAGAGGGAGGAGGGCUUGAAGGUGGUUUUAGGAGGAAGAGGAAGGGGGUUUUUAUCACCCCCUUGUAACGGCUCUCCGCCGCGUGGCCGCGGAUUGGCUGGAGGGGGGUGCCGCGGGAUGCCCGCGGCGCCUUCGCCCCGGUGGCACCCGAAGGAGUCGGAGAGGAUCGCAAUCACGAUCCUCUGUUCCGGUUCUUCCUAAAAAAGGACGCGGCUGAAGUCGGCUGGGGCUGCCGACUUCAGCCCGUAUCUCACAUUCUCUCCUCCUUAGAAAAAUUUCGUCCUCGGAAUUUAAGAGAUCUAGGCCUUUCAAAUUUAAAGAUCCUCAACACAUUGAGUAAUAUAAAUUCAAGAUCGUAUUCUUCUCGAUCAAAACCAGUGCGAUAGAUGACUUUGGAUUAGUUGUCAAAAACCAGCAAGAUUAGCAAUAGAUAAGUAACUAACUAAAAUCUAAGAUUGAAGUCGUCAUCUUGAUGUAAGUUCACUCUAGAUCGGAUCAGGAUCGAUUCACAACAGGAUUGAAAUUAUCAUCUUUCAAAUAGAUCUUAUACACUUAUCAUGAUAGUGUGCUGAUCGCUCAAAGGAUAAUGAACAACCUUAGAGUCAAAUCAUUAUAUGGCUAGGAAUGUAAUUCACGAAAAUGAACAUGUACUGAUGAUCAUUAGAUAGCAACAGUGUAUCUCAAAAAUGAUUUGCAUCAAAUCACAAGAGCAAGUCUGAGAAAAUAAAGUAUUGAUACCAUGAUUCAAUAUGCCACAAAGCUUUUAACUUAAACUUAUAAAUCAUUAGAUUUGAGCAAAUAAUGCAUGGUUUAUUUAGAUACUUAACAAAUUAGACCAUAUUUGGUCAACAAUUAACUAACUCGAGUCAUGAUACACUCAAAUUAUUAUUAUUAUUGUUAUUUUCUUAGCAUAGCAAAAAUAGCAAAAACCAUCAGCGAGAUAACAUAGUUAUAUCAUGAUUAAUCUGAGAAUCAACAGUAUUCAUCUUCUCUUAUUAACAAAAGUCUUCAUUAUUGAAAAAUCUAGUCUUCCAUCACAGUCUAUAUUUUUGACCAAUUUAAAUUGACUUGGUCCACUAUACUUUCGCUGCACAACUUUGAUCAAUAUUCUCUAAAAUUUCUUAAUGAUCCCAGAUCAUCAACAUUUUUUUUUUUAUAAUAUCCAAGCAAAAUUUUUUCCUUGCUUCCCAAGUACACUAGGUCAUGAUUAAACCUUGAGAUAGUUGUCAUAUUUGUACCAUCAUAUAAUCAAGUAAUCAUAUUCUAGAUCCAAAUUUGAACUAAGCCAAUUCUAGUUUCCCUUGACAAUUCCAUUAUACAAGUUGAUAUUUAUUCUAAGCUUCAAUAAUUAAAAGAUUCUAUAUUAACUUACUUAGGAGCUUACUCAAUGAUUCCGAAUCCUUUCUUUUAGGCUGAACUUAUUUGGGCCUCUCAUGAAAUCCCACUUGCAUUUCUCAUAUGGUGCUACAAAAUCCAUAAUCAACUCAUGGCAUUGAUUUAUAAAUAUUUAACUCACAAGAAUCUAAUAAUCUGGUUCAAAGAUUUACAAGAAAUUCUACGAAGAUAUAAGCUCUAUGAUUUUACAUUGAGAUCAACUCCUCAAAUAAGUAAAAUAUUUUUAUUUGCAAUACUGCAAACAUUUCAGGAUCUUGUAAAUCUACUGGACUUAGAGAAUUUACUAAUAACACAAUGAUAUCCAUAUUGAUCAAAAUCAAAAAUACUAUAUUUUCCAAUGAUUUUUUUUUUUUGCAUAGUAGAUAGAAGUCCCUACACUAAUGACACCAUGAUAUCCAUAUCAGUCAAAAUCAAAAACACUAUUCUUUUCUUUGACAUUGAAAUUCUCCUUAAUAAGAAAAACCAUCAAAAACUAUUUCCAAAUCACAAAGUUAAUAUCGCUGACCAGCUUAAAAUAAUUUAAACAACCAAUAUUCUCAUAAUUUACUAAAUCACUUCCAAUUAAAAUACCACUCUGCAUUGUAAUUUGAAAAGAUCUAAAAUUUCAAAUUCUAGGUAAAGCCACAGGAAAAUUCUAGAAUUUCAUCCCAAAUAUGUUUUCUAUCUACACAAGAGUUUCAUCAUGAUCCACAUACAGAUUUCAAUCCUCGAAGAAUAUUUCAAUGAAUAUUACAAAAUAUUUUCUAGUCCAAACUUUAAACAACCUUUUAUAAAUGAACCUUAAUUUGCCACCAAAAUAAUUAUCUUGAACUAGAGGCAAUAUCCACAAUGCCUGAUAUCAAGUUAAACUUUUAAAAUAAUUACAUUGCAUGAUAAUAUCUCAUGACUAAUAUUCCUUCACUUAGUUUAGUCAAAAUCUGAUUAAUCAUAAUUUGAAAUACAAAUUGUUCCACCAAGAAAACUCUCAGAAUAGCUUAUCACACUUUGGUUACAGGUUGCAUUCUAAUUUUAGCAUUUCAAAAUUCAGAUAAAAUAACAUAAAUUUAUCAAUAGCAAAAGCAAAAAAAUACCUUUGUCUAAUGGCCUAAUGUCUACCCAUCUCUCAAACUUUCCAACGAAUCCUAAAGAUCCUAAAACUUAAUCCCCAUCCAACUAUUUCAAACACAAUCCCUAAAAAUCUGAAGCCUAAGCUCUGAUACUACCAAAUUUGUCCCGCCCCAAGCCCGAGGUGCGGCAGACGCUGCACGCUCGCACAGCAGGCCGCACAGGCGUGAAGGCAGCAAAUCACAUCAAAGCAAAUAUGGAUGCUUAAAAAUGACAUUAAUUUUUAAGUUGUUCAAAAGCAGUCUUACAAAAUUUCAAAAUAGCAUAUGCCAGCAUAAUUCAAAUGUCCAAGCUAAUCUAACUAAAGGACCGAUAACUGAAGGAAUCGUCGGAAAAUCUAACGCACUCCCCAAUCUCGUGCGAUCAAGCCUCUGGAUCUGAAAAAUAGAGAAAAUAGAAUAAUGAGCUACACUAGCCCAGUAAGCAACAAAAUAUCCCAAAGUGGGGUCAAAGCAUAUCAGAUCAAAAUACAAAAUAAUGACUGGAAAAUAAAUCACAAGUAACAUCAUUUUUUUCUUNNNNNNNNNNNNNNNNNNNNCGUCGGAAAAUCUAACGCACUCCCCAAUCUCGUGCGAUCAAGCCUCUGGAUCUGAAAAAUAGAGAAAAUAGAAUAAUGAGCUACACUAGCCCAGUAAGCAACAAAAUAUCCCAAAGUGGGGUCAAAGCAUAUCAGAUCAAAAUACAAAAUAAUGACUGAAAAUAAAUCACAAGUAACAUCAUUUUUUUCUUUUCAAAACUUAUCACUUUUACAAAAACUAUAAUAUCAUAAUCUCAGCAUAAUAGGCUACGGCCACGUAACCUAGUGGCAUGGAUUGCACAAAGUGCCAAAUUCACUAUUUUUAUCCACCGAUGGCAGCCGGUGUUGUACAAAAGUGCCAGACCCACUAUAUUUACCCACCAAUGGCAGCUGGUGUCCAAAUCCACUAUUCUAAUCAUCGGUGGCGCGGUGUCGAAACCAGUUUCUCACAGAUUACAAGUCGACAGGUCCAACGUAUGAUCUCCAUUGGCAGGGCCAGAACAGAACAGAACAGAUCAUAGCCAUGCUGAGAAUGCAUAUACAUAAAAAAAUAGAUUUCAUAAAUUAUCCAGCCAUAUUUUACGAAAUUCAGAGCAUAUAACAUAAUUUUCAAAUAAAAUUUAACAUGCCUGACCCUUUUUACUGAAUACAAAACAUAUGUCAAAAUUUAAUGAAUUUAUCAAAUAAUUUGAAAAUCACACUUGAAGUAUUAAGUUACUUACCUCUUUUUGCUUUAAAUCCCACUUCAGGCGAACAUAUCAGAUACACCUGUUUAAUUAAUUUCUUUGUUAAUUUUAGAGCUAAGCAAAACCAAAAUCAAUAUUAUUGGACACGGCCCAACAGGGUCCAGAGUUGGCCCAUGAUGGGCAUGGCCCGAUAGGGCCCACAUCGGACACGACCUAAUGGGCCUGCAUAGACCCAGCCUAAUAGGGCCCCCAAAGUUGGCCUCUAGAUGGAUUAUUCAUGCAAUAAAAUUUAUUGCAGGGACUAAUACUUAAUUACGGGGUACU
rnacentral:lncRNA from 1 species